rnacentral:rRNA from 1 species
UACGUAGGCAGCGAGCGUUGUUCGGAAUUACUGGGCGUAAAGAGUGCGUAGGCGGUUUUCUAAGUUUGGUGUGAAAUCUCCCGGCUUAACUGGGAGGGUGCGCCGAAAACUGGAAGGCUUGAGUAUGGGAGAGGUAAGCGGAAUUCCUGGUGUAGCGGUGAAAUGCGUAGAUAUCAGGAGGAACACCUGCGGUGUAGACGGCUUACUGGACCAUAACUGACGCUGAGGCACGAAAGCGUGGGUAGCAAACAGG